CUAUGGGCGGGCCGUGUGGGGAGACCUUCGGGUCUGCCGGCCCUCUGACCGGUUCGCCAACCCCGCACGGUUCCGCCCACCC
rnacentral:antisense_RNA from 12 species